rnacentral:rRNA from 1 species
AGAGUUUGAUCCUGGCUCAGGAUGAACGCUGGCGGCGUGCCUAAUACAUGCAAGUCGAGCGAACGGACGAGAAGCUUGCUUCUCUGAUGUUAGCGGCGGACGGGUGAGUAACACGUGGAUAACCUACCUAUAAGACUGGGAUAACUUCGGGAAACCGGAGCUAAUACCGGAUAAUAUUUCGAACCGCAUGGUUCAAAAGUGAAAGACGGUCUUGCUGUCACUUAUAGAUGGAUCCGCGCUGCAUUAGCUAGUUGGUAAGGUAACGGCUUACCAAGGCAACGAUGCAUAGCCGACCUGAGAGGGUGAUCGGCCACACUGGAACUGAGACACGGUCCAGACUCCUACGGGAGGCAGCAGUAGGGAAUCUUCCGCAAUGGGCGAAAGCCUGACGGAGCAACGCCGCGUGAGUGAUGAAGGUCUUCGGAUCGUAAAACUCUGUUAUUAGGGAAGAACAUAUGUGUAAGUAANUGUGCACAUCUUGACGGUACCUAAUCAGAAAGCCACGGCUAACUACGUGCCAGCAGCCGCGGUAAUACGUAGGUGGCAAGCGUUAUCCGGAAUUAUUGGGCGUAAAGCGCGCGUAGGCGGUUUUUUAAGUCUGAUGUGAAAGCCCACGGCUCAACCGUGGAGGGUCAUUGGAAACUGGAAAACUUGAGUGCAGAAGAGGAAAGUGGAAUUCCAUGUGUAGCGGUGAAAUGCGCAGAGAUAUGGAGGAACACCAGUGGCGAAGGCGACUUUCUGGUCUGUAACUGACGCUGAUGUGCGAAAGCGUGGGGAUCAAACAGGAUUAGAUACCCUGGUAGUCCACGCCGUAAACGAUGAGUGCUAAGUGUUAGGGGGUUUCCGCCCCUUAGUGCUGCAGCUAACGCAUUAAGCACUCCGCCUGGGGAGUACGACCGCAAGGUUGAAACUCAAAGGAAUUGACGGGGACCCGCACAAGCGGUGGAGCAUGUGGUUUAAUUCGAAGCAACGCGAAGAACCUUACCAAAUCUUGACAUCCUUUGACAACUCUAGAGAUAGAGCCUUCCCCUUCGGGGGACAAAGUGACAGGUGGUGCAUGGUUGUCGUCAGCUCGUGUCGUGAGAUGUUGGGUUAAGUCCCGCAACGAGCGCAACCCUUAAGCUUAGUUGCCAUCAUUAAGUUGGGCACUCUAAGUUGACUGCCGGUGACAAACCGGAGGAAGGUGGGGAUGACGUCAAAUCAUCAUGCCCCUUAUGAUUUGGGCUACACACGUGCUACAAUGGACAAUACAAAGGGCAGCGAAACCGCGAGGUCAAGCAAAUCCCAUAAAGUUGUUCUCAGUUCGGAUUGUAGUCUGCAACUCGACUACAUGAAGCUGGAAUCGCUAGUAAUCGUAGAUCAGCAUGCUACGGUGAAUACGUUCCCGGGUCUUGUACACACCGCCCGUCACACCACGAGAGUUUGUAACACCCGAAGCCGGUGGAGUAACCUUUUAGGAGCUAGCCGUCGAAGGUGGGACAAAUGAUUGGGGUGAAGUCGUAACAAGGUAGCCGUAUCGGAAGGUGCGGCUGGAUCACCU